rnacentral:rRNA from 1 species
UACGUAGGGUGCAAGCGUUAAUCGGAAUUACUGGGCGUAAAGCGUGCGCAGGCGGUUGUGCAAGACAGGUGUGAAAUCCCCGGGCUUAACCUGGGAACUGCACUUGUGACUGCACAGCUGGAGUACGGCAGAGGGGGAUGGAAUUCCGCGUGUAGCAGUGAAAUGCGUAGAUAUGUGGAGGAAUACCGAUGGCGAAGGCAGCCUCCUGGGCCAACACUGACGCUCAUGCACGAAAGCGUGGGGAGCAAACAGG